UUCAAAAUUUCUAUAAAGGUUUGUAUGAAGGCAAAUUAAAAGAUAUUGGAAUUUAUUUGAGCACAAUAAAAAAAACAAGAAGGGUAGGUGGAUAAAACCUUCAAAGAUAUUAGAUACCAAUCUUAUGAUUAUUUGCUUAAAAAUGGAUUUCUAUGGAAGAGGCCAAAAAGAGAUGAAAAAAUUCCAUUAAAGACUUUGAAACUAAAUUUAAAGUUAAAAAAAAUGUCAUGAUACAUUUUAGGUAGGACAUAGAGGAAUUUGAGCCACAUAUAUAAAGAUCAAGAAAAGAUAUUAAUAGAAGGACUUAUACAAGGAUGUAGAAGAUUUUGUGAGCUCAUGCAUAGAAUAUCAAUUACAAUCUGAGAUUAGGUAUAGAGAUGGAUUACAUCCAACUUAUCCACUUGUUAUACAUUUUUAAUAAGUAAUUGAUUUAGUAGCUAUGCUAUCAGGACUUUGGAGUAUAAAAUACUUAAUUUUGACAAGAAAAGAGCUAUCAAAUUAUGUUGAAAGGAGGGCUUUGAGAACCAAGACUAUAAAAGUAGUAUGCAGAUUUAUAUUAAAAGAUAUCUUUAGUAAAAUAUAGUAGCAUUGGAAGGAUGAGAUUCAAGCCACUAAAAUGGCCAUCUAGGACAAAGUAUGAAGGCAUUUGGAGAUUGACAACUAGGAUUGAAGAACUUGCUUUAAGCUACUUUCAAAAGCAUAAAG
rnacentral:lncRNA from 1 species